UUAGAUGAUGAUGAUGAAUCUGAAGAGAGUUUAGAUGAUGAUGAUGAUGAUGCAUUUGAAGAAGAUUUGGAUGAUGAUGAUGAUGAUGAUGAUGAUGAUGAUGAUGAUGAUGAUGAUUCAUCUCCUGUUUCUGAUGA
rnacentral:misc_RNA from 1 species